rnacentral:rRNA from 1 species
UACGUAGGUGGCAAGCGUUGUCCGGAUUUACUGGGUGUAAAGGGCGUGCAGCCGGGAAUGCAAGUCAGAUGUGAAAUCCCGCGGCUCAACCGCGGAACUGCAUUUGAAACUGUGUUUCUUGAGUACUGGAGAGGCAGACGGAAUUCCUAGUGUAGCGGUGAAAUGCGUAGAUAUUAGGAGGAACACCAGUGGCGAAGGCGGUCUGCUGGACAGCAACUGACGGUGAGGCGCGAGAGCGUGGGGAGCAAACAGG